GACGAGGGGUCCUAGCGUUGUUCGGAAUCACUGGGCGUAAAGCGUAUGUAGGCGGCCUGUUAAGUCAGUUGUGAAAUCCCACGGCUCAACCGUGGAAUUGCAAUUGAAACUGGCGGGCUUGAGUGCAGGAGAGGUUGGUAGAAUACCUAGUGUAGUGGUGAAAUACGUAGAUAUUAGGUGGAAUACCGGUGGCGAAGGCGGCCAACUGGCCUAGCACUGAUGCUGAGAUACGAAAGCGUGGGGAUCAAACAGG
rnacentral:rRNA from 1 species